AGACAUCGCUGCGGCCGGGAUAGGGCGCCGCCGUUCUGGCCGGCUUUCUCGGUGCCCUGGAGGACCUGGCCGGCUCCGCGGGAAGCUGUACUCAGAGCGCGCGGCCGCCCUCUGGCAGGGAGGAGUUCGUUGCACUUUUGAGGGUUCUUCACGAAGACAUCCAAUACAUAGAAAACAAGUAACAGCAACAGUAACGAAUUUUUAAAUAUUAAAAUUGCUGGGGAACACGACGGAUCCUGCAGCUGCUCGGCUGUCCCGGUCGUCAGUGACGCUAGGGCUCCGCACCGUACCCUGCAUACCGUAGGUGCUCACGAAACGUUCGUGAGUUCCCUGCUCUGAGGAAACAAGCUUAAAAACUCAGAAUCUAAGGUGUGAGUCUCCGCAAACCUGCUUGUUGGGCAGCGUCCCCCGCCCGGGCUAGCCCUGCACGCCCCACCCCGGAGCCACGCUUCUCCAGCCGGGACCCCUGCCUCCUUCCAGGCUAUUCUCGGAACCGCAGCCAGAGGGAAUUUUUUUUUCCUUUCCUGAAACGUAGAGCAGAUCUGGUUACUCUUCUGCACAACGCCCUAAAAUCUAGGGCCCUUCCCAUCCCUCAGAAUUUACAUCUAAUUCUCAGCUCCCCUCCGGCUUGCUGUAGCCAUCCUGGCUUUUGUUUAGCACAGCACUUACUGUUAGUGACAUUAUAUUGUAUAUUAUUAACAUAUUUGUGUUUUACAUCCCUCACUAGACCCCCAGGAAAGAGGCUUUGAUGUGUUGCCUGCUGCAAGGCUGGCUGCAUAAUUUGUGGAGCUCAGAGAAAAGUGCGGAGCUUCCUUGUUCAAAAAACAGAAAGAAAGUGCCUCUGAGGUCAUAAAAUAUAAAACUUUCUCUUUCCUCUCAGUUUCUCUCUUUUCAUAGUGUUUUUAUGUGUUAUUUAAUAUCAUUCCAAGAAAAAUUUAGAUUUAAAUUGUUAGCAUGAAGUUCACCAUCCAUCUUUACGUUGUGCAAUGCCAGUUUUAAAUACUAAUAUAAGUGCACUGAUCUCAUAUGUGGAAUCACAGAAAUUAUGCAAUUUGUACUUCAUAGCUUAUACAUGCAUAUAGAUUUUGUUUUUACCAGAACCACGCUGGUAAAAACAGAUGCUGCACAAAGUGAACUUGCCCGUUUUCAUCGCACUUUACGUGCACGAAUUCUACCUCUACUCUCGACCUGGGACUCACCGAUGCGUAAGGAAGGACUGAAAAGCAAAAGAACUAUGGACUGGCCUUUUGGCAUGAUCAGGUGUCUAAUAUAAAGAAGUGCAUGAAUAAGAAAAUAUAUGAUAUGAGUGAUGGUUAAUACUGACUGUCAACUUGAUUGGAUUGAAGGAUGCAAAGUAUUGAUCCUGGGUGUGUCUGUGAGGGUGUUGCCAAAGGAGAUUAACAUUUGAGUCAGUGGGCUGGGAAAGUUCGACCCACUGUUAAUCUAGAUGGACACCAUCUAAUCAGAUGCCAGUGCAGCUAGAAAUGUAAAGCAGACAGAAAAAUGCGAAAAGAGAGACUGGCCUAGCCUGCCAGCCUACAUCUUUCUCCCACGCUGGAUGCUUCCUGCCCUCGAACAUCAGACUCCAAGUUCUUCAGUUUGGGACUUGGACUGGCUCUCCUUGUUCCUCAGCUUGAAGACUGCCCAUUGUGGGACUUGUGAUCAUGUGCCAUGAUAAAUAAGCCAGUUUGAGUCACUUGGUCUAAUAUCGAGACCACGAACAUAUUGAUCACAGAAUGUGUUAGGUAAGCAUGUUGUUGACUGAAGUGUAAGUAAGGUGCUCACCUUAAAUGCAUGUGCCAACAUCAGCAUCUUCAGAAGAGUCUCUUUCCCUUUGGGACAUCGAGGUGACUGACAGUUAAACAAGCCGUAUUUGGAGUAGGUGUACAAUCAGCCUCCUUCCAGUUCUCCUUGGCACUUUCCAGUUCACAAAGGACACUUCACUCCUUUUUGGUUUUUUUGAGACAGGGUCUCACUCUGUCACCCAGGCUAGAGUACGGUGGUGAGAUCACCCCUCACUGCAACCUCCGUCUCCUGGGCUCAAGUGAUCCUCCCACCUCAGCCUCCCAAGUAGCUGGUACCACAGGUGCAUGCCACCACACCUGGCUGAUUUUUGUAUUUUGUGUAGAAGGGGGUAUUGCCCUAUCGCCUAGGCUGGAAGGCUGUUAAGAGGAGAACUGAGCAAUGAGGAUCCCAUCCUGGACUUCGCAGACUUGCUGUGCUUUUGAAUGCUUCUCUCACGGUCAGAGCCUGCACUGGAAAAGAUGGCAUUUGGGACAACACACCUGGCUGCUGCCCCAGGAAGAAAGUAGUGAACACUGGAGGACUGUCAGCCCUGUCAGUUUCUGGAAAUGUGCCCUGAGUUUAAGUUCUGGUUUCAGAUUAUGAGGAGCAAAAUUACUGAGUAGGCCUCCUCCUAGAACAGGAAGCUCUUCCCGCUGUGGGCCAGUGGCUCUGACAUAUCACAGAGCCUGCUCUGAUGAAGGCAGCAGGAAUGAUUUCAAAACAAGCAAAACCAAAGAAAACUGUUUGACAAUGGAAGUAAUAGAGGCUCAUUUUAGAAAACAUAGACAUAAAGAAAAAAAGAAGAAUCUUCCAUAACCCACAGAUUAUAACUACUUACAUACCUUCCAGGCUUUAUUUCUCUUUUUUAAAAAACAAAUGUUAAAGUGGAAUUUACCUAUAAAAAAGAUACAGGUCCUAAGAGCACAGCUUGGCUUGAUCAAUUUUCUCAAGUUGAAUGCACCUGUGCAAUCAGUGCCAGGCUGAACACACAGCCUCAGCAGCGCCUGGAAGCUUUUCCAAGCCUCCUUAUUGUCAUCCCUCCCUCCCCAGGGGUAGCUGCGAUCACUGUAGCUUUGGUCUGAACUAUAUAUAAAUGCAAUCAUGCCACGUUAUGUUUCUGAGACUCACCCACACCCUGGCAAGCCAUUGCAGUUUGUUUAUUCUCAAUGUUCUACAAGCAGCAGUCCCCAAGCUUUUUGGCACCGGGGACCAGUCUCAUGGAGGACGAUUUUUCCGCAGACCAGGAUAACAGAAGUUCAAGAGGAAAGGACAGUGAGAGACCAUGACUAAAGAAUUACUCCGUGAACAACUCAGGAGGACCAGCUAUGAUUUCACUCUCAUUCAAAAAAGAGAAAUAAUAUUUCUUUCAGCUGCUACCCAUAAAAUAUUUUUGAAUGUGUGUACAAUGUUCAUGCUGUAAUGGCUGCUCUAUCAUGAAGGAUGUGUUGACACCUCGUGGGUGGCUUUUCACAAUCCCCUUGGACACAGAUUGGGGGAUUGACGGCCCCAUCCCCUCAUUUUCCACACCGAGGGGCAGUUGGGAUAUGCAUAAAAUCUUGUUCUCUAGUUAGGACCUGUUGCUAUAAAUCUAGCAUCAAGAGUAUCACUAUUUUCUAAACACUUUGCCAGACAGCCUUCGGAGUAUAAUUUUCUGAAGUUUAUAAAGCAUAACUCAUACACACACCUAGUGACCAUGUUCUGAAGGUAUAUUUAACUCCUGCAUGAGGGAACAGGCAGGAUGAAAGUGGGUUCUAAGGAAGAGACUAGCAUAUAUGAUCAACGGGGAAAAAUGAAGAGUAAGCUUGAAACCGCCUUUGCAAAAAUUAUAACCGAGGAGAUUAUGACAGUGAAGGAGAUCAGACCUAACCGACCCCAUCUUGCUUCUAACCUUUAAGCUGUCCUUGUUCAUUCCUGGGUGUAGGCCGAACUAACUUUGGGAAGGAAUUUGUUCGUGGUUUGACUCUGAAACAAAAAAAUUGAUAAUAGCCCUUUCCCGAAAAGACCGCCUUCUUGCCUGGGGACCAGUCUGCCUUUGCAGGACCAACAAAUUAACUACGAGAUUAGAAAUUACAGUUUAGGGGUCCUGCAGCCUCUGACUCCAAGAGUCUGACCCUCCCCACAUUGCUUCUGGGGAUAACAUCACUAUUAUAAAACCUAAGAUCAGUGCUUGAGAUAUUUUGCAGACCCUGCACUGGAUGGAUCAGCUGACACCACCCAGACCCGUAAUCUGGAUCAACCAGUUCUGCCAUCCCACCCAGGAACAGAAGAUGCAAGAAAAACUCACUUUGACCCUCUAUGAUUCCAUCUCCAACCUGACCAAUCAGUACUCCCCACUUCCCAAGCCCCUGCCUGCCAAAUUAUCUUUAAAAACUCUGAUCCCCGAAUGCUUGGAGAGGCUGAUUUGAGUAACAACACAACUCUGGUCUCCUGCACAGCCAGUUCUGUGUGAACUACCCUUCGCCCAUUGCAAUUCCCCUGUCUUGAUAAAUUGGCUCUGUCGAGGCAGUGGGCAAGGUGAACCCACUGGGCAGUUACAAGACUGCAAAGUUAGAAACAAAACUGGCAAUGCCCCAUGGGUCAAAAAUAAUCAAUUAAUUCAUAACAUUUGACUUGAUUAAGUUUUCUACUGGACAGAAACAAUUUGCAACUUAUCCUUCCUCUACAUUGUUUGACUGCCAUGUCAAUUGUAAGUAUUAGAUCAAAUUUUAAAAUAAUUAUUUUAGAGCUUCAGAUGCACCUUACAUGGGCUUGUUAGAUUGUUAGACACUGCUUAGUGACAUUGAAAGAGGGCACAAUACUUUUUUUGCCUUAUUUCUAAGUUGUGGGUAUCCUUUUCUUAACACUUCUUUUCUGUGAUUCUAUGCAAGACAAUCGUUGAUGAAAUGGGAUUUUCUGGAUGGAAAGUCCGUGUACUUUACUGAAACCUCUUUCUACAGUUCUGUCUUUCAAGUGGGAUUCUGUGAGCUGACUCAUGACAGCUGAGCAUCAUCGGAGAUUGGCUUCAAUGGUCCUCAAUGUGCAGAACAUAAAUAGCAAUUUCUACCAUCAUUCAAUAGCAUUUGUGGGUCCUUUUAUAUGGAGUAUAUAAAAGUAUUUGCAGGUCUUGGUUUAUCUGUCCCCACGUGACAUACCUAUAGAACAGGUAUUUUCAUCCCAGCUACUUAUUAUAAAUAUUUAAUAAGUAGGCUAAUGGUUUGGAAUUCUAUUUCUCUAUUUGCAUGAGUCAAAUAAUAGACCAAAUUCUUUCAAAAAGAGGAGAUGUUAACAUACCAAAAGAAACUGAAACAAGAGCAUUGAACCCACGGUGCCCUUCAGAAACACCUGCCAACAAUGGGGCAGAGUGUCCAGCUGCCUGGACAGUGUGUGCAGGGGCGGGGCCCUUCCUGUUCACAAUGGCUUUGCCUGGCAGUUAAAAUGCAAAUGGAGGGCAGACUGAGAGUGCAUCACCCUCUCACAUCUCAGAGUCUAAAAGGCGGCCUUUCAGUGCCUUCUGUUCAAAUUGCAAAUGCUCUUCCUUUAUCCCCCAAGGCCUGGGAGACAGUUCUGAAUAAUUCUUCCCCAACAAAUUGGCUUUCCUCUUCCCAGCAACAAAAGCCCUUAUUGGUUUUAAAAGUGCAAAGAACAAAUUUUAUUCAAGGGUCUUAAGGCAGAUGAAGGUUCACAGAAACUACAAGGGCAGUUCCAGGGCCUCCACGUACGACCGUGUCCCUAUAACGACUGGUCCUUAUAAGAGGCCAGCAACAGUAUCUUAUUUUCCUGUACAGGCCUGGGAUUCCCAGUAAUUUCUUUGCAUUGGCUUUGUAAGCACAAUUACCCAGAGUUUCCGAGAAUUGGGACAUUUCCAAGAAAUUGCCCAAUGGGUCAGUGGAGUGCUGUCAAAUGAGAUGGACCAUCUUAAAAUCAAAACGUGGGUGGUUUCUGCUCAUUGCUGAGCAUUUCACUUCCAUUCUGAAAAGUCUAAGAACGUCACUCCAGGAGAUACAAUGUCAAGGGCUCCCGCCACUCUUCAUCAUUGCCCAAGUCAUAAGAAUCAUCCCCCAAAUUCCUUCUAUUUCUCCAAGGUAGGGUAACCCAGGGCUGGGUAAGCCUGUUAGGGCAGGUCAGGUUGGCACAUACCGAGGAGGAACUCAGACAGACAGACAGCGCCAGGGGACCAGCGGCACUGUGUGCUCAUCACCACCCUCAGGGAUUCAAGGGCCUUGUCCUGGUACCUGGGUCACCUUCUGAAAUAAGUGCUACUGAGGUUCAUGGCCAAGACCCUUCCAGGAAAUUCAGAAGGAGGUUGGCUUCAGUGGGAAAGUAGUCUGUGACCCAGAAGGUGUUUAUUCAACAAGGUGCAAGCUGACAACAUGUUUCUUUGCUCUGGACACUGGAAUUAAACUCCUAAGAGACCCUA
rnacentral:lncRNA from 1 species